CGCCUUGCCAGCCCGCUCAGAAACUCAAAUGAAUUGACGGGACCCCGCACAAGCGGUGGAUCAUGUUGUUUAAUUCGAUGAUACGCGAAGAACCUUACCAGGUCUUGACAUCCCCCGCGAUGCUUUAGAGAUAAAGCGGAGGUAUUCGGGGAGACAGGUGGUGCAUGGUUGUCGUCAGCUCGUGUCGUGAGAUGUUGGGUUAAGUCCCGCAACGAGCGCAACCCCUAUUGCUAGUUACCAUCAUUAAGUUGGGGACUCUAGCGAGACUGCCAGUGAUAAACUGGAGGAAGGUGGGGAUGACGUCAAAUCAUCAUGCCCCUUACGGCCUGGGCUACACACGUGCUACAAUGGUCGGUACAAAGGGUUGCCAAGCCGCGAGGUGGAGCUAAUCCCAUAAAACCGAUCGUAGUCCGGAUCGCAGUCUGCAACUCGACUGCGUGAAGUCGGAAUCGCUAGUAAUCGUGAAUCAGAAUGUCACGGUGAAUACGUUCCCGGGCCUU
rnacentral:rRNA from 1 species